rnacentral:rRNA from 1 species
GCGGAUGCCUUGGCUCUCGGAGGCGAUGAAGGACGUGAUAAGCUGCGAUAAGCUUUGGGGAGGUGCAAAUGACCUUUGAUCCAGAGAUUUCCGAAUGGGACAACCCAAUAUCUUGAAGAGGUAUUAUCCAACGUUGUUGGAGGCUAACGCAGGGAACUGAAACAUCUUAGUACCUGCAGGAAAAGAAAAUAAACAAUGAUUCCCCCAGUAGUGGCGAGCGAACGGGGAACAGCCCAAACCAUCCAUGUUACGGCAUGGGUGGGGUUGUAGGACUACGCCGUUGCAUGAAGACAUCAGAGAAGAACUUUCUGGAAAGAAAGACCAUAGAGCAUGACAGUUGCGUAUUCGAAUGUUGUCGAAGCAUAGUAGUAUCCUGAGUAGCGCGGAGCACGAGGAAUUCUGCGUGAAUCUGCCGGGACCAUCCGGUAAGGCUAAAUACUCCCGAGAGACCGAUAGCGAACCAGUACCGUGAGGGAAAGGUGAAAAGCACUUCGAACAGAAGAGUGAAAUAGUUCCUGAAACCGUGCGCCUACAAGCGGUCGGAGCUCGUUAAUGAGUGACGGCGUGCCUUUUGCAUAAUGAACCUACGAGUUGCCUUUGCCGGCAAGGUUAAGUGUGACGACACACGUAUCCGAAGCGAAAGCGAGUCUGAAGAGGGCGUAUAGUCGGCAGUGGCAGACGCGAAACCAAGUGAUCUACCCUUGGCCAGGUUGAAGGCUGGGUAACACCAGCUGGAGGACCGCACCAAUAAGCGUUGAAAAGCUUCUGGAUGAGCUGAGGGUAGGGGUGAAAGGCUAAUCAAACUUGGAGAUAGCUCGUACUCCCCGAAAUGCAUUUAGGUGCAGCCUUGCGGGUUACUGAUGUGAGGUAGAGCGACUGAUAAGAUGCGAGGGCUUCACCGCCUAUCAAGUCUUGACAAACUCCGAAUGCGCAUCAGUUCUACCGCAGGAGUGAGGGCAUGGGUGCUAAGGUCCGUGCCCGAGAGGAGAAGAAUCCGGACCACCUGCUAAGGUCCCGAAAUGACAGCUAAGUUAAACUAACGAAGUCUGACUGCUAAGACAGCUAGGAUGUUGGCUUGGAAGCAGCCAUUCAUUUAAAGAGUGCGUAACAGCUCACUAGUCGAGGAGUCGGGCGUGGAUAAUAAUCGGGUAUGAAGUUGUCUACCGAAGCAGUGGGAUCAUUUAUAUGAUCGGUAGGGGAGCAUUCCAGUCGGCGUCGAAGGCGUACCGUGAGGUAUUCUGGAGCGUCUGGAAAAGCAAAUGUAGGUAUAAGUAACGAUAAAGGGGGCGGGAAACCCCCUCGCCGAAAGACUAAGGUUUCCUGAUCAACGCUAAUCGGAUCAGGGUCAGUCGGGUCCUAAGGCUCAGCCGAACGGCGAUGCCGAUGGCAGAAACGGUUAAUAUUCCGUUACUACCUUCAGGAGUGACGUGGAGACGCAGUAGUGACAGUGCCGCCAUCUGACGGAAUAGAUGGUUGAAGGGUGUAGGAGUCGAUCAUGGCAGGCAAAUCCACCAUGAGAUCCGAACCUGAUAGUAUGCCGCGUCCUUCGGGACAAGGCAAUAGUGCGCGUAAGCAUGCUGCCGAGAAAAUCCGCUAAACUUAAUCCUGCAGGUACCCGUACCGCAAACGGACACACGUAGUCGGGUUGAAUAUACUAAGGCGCUUGAGUGAUUCACGGUUAAGGAACUAGGCAAACUGACCCUGUAACUUCGGGAUAAAGGGUCCCUACCCUUUUAUGGGAGGGCGCAGAGAAUCGGUCCAGGCAACUGUUUAACAAAAACACAGGGCUGUGCCAAAUCGAAAGAUCCAGUAUACAGCCUGACACCUGCCCGGUGCUGGAAGGUUAAGAGGAGAUGUCAUCGAUAAGAGAAGCGUUGAAUUGAAGCCCCAGUAAACGGCGGCCGUAACUAUAACGGUCCUAAGGUAGCGAAAUUCCUUGUCGGGUAAGUUCCGACCUGCACGAAUGGUGUAAUGAUCUGGACGCUGUCUCAACCGUGAGCUCAGUGAAAUUGUAGUAUCGGUGAAGAUGCCGAUUACCCGCGAUGGGACGAAAAGACCCCGUGAACCUUUACUAUAGCUUAUCAUUGAAUCUGGGCACGUGAUGUGUAGGAUAGGUCGGAGGCUUUGAAGCAGGUACGCCAGUAUUUGUGGAGCCGCUGUUGAAAUACGACCCUUUAUUUGUUUGGAUUCUAACCCGUGGAACGGGGACAUUGAUUGGUGGGUAGUUUGACUGGGGUGGUCGCCUCCAAAAGCGUAACGGAGGCUUCUAAAGGUGCCCUCCGGCCGAUUGGUAACCGGCCUUAGAGUGUAAUGGCAUAAGGGCGCUUGACUGGGAGACUGACAAGUCGAUCAGGUAGGAAACUAGAGCAUAGUGAUCCGGUGUUUCC